AUUGAACGCUGGCGGCAGGCCUAACACAUGCAAGUCGAGCGGGGUUUUCGGACCUAGCGGCGGACGGGUGAGUAAUGCGUAGGAAGCUACCCGAUAGAGGGGGAUACCAGAUGGAAACGACUGUUAAUACCGCAUAAUGUCUACGGACCAAAGUGUGGGACCUUCGGGCCACAUGCUAUCGGAUGCGCCUACGUGGGAUUAGCUAGUUGGUGGGGUAAUGGCUCACCAAGGCGACGAUCCCUAGCUGGGUUGAGAGGGUGAUCAGCCACACGGGGAAUGAGACACGGUCCAGACUCCUGCGGGAGGCAGCGGUGGGGAAUAUUGGACACUGGGCGCAAGCCUGAUCCAGCCAUGCCGCGUGUGUGAAGAAGGCCUUCGGGUUGUAAAGCACUUUCAGUAGGGAGGAAGGGUGUUGUGUUAAUAGCACAGCAUUUCGACGUUACCUACAGAAGAAGCACCGGCUAACUCUGUGCCAGCCGCCGCAGUAAAAC
rnacentral:rRNA from 1 species